rnacentral:lncRNA from 1 species
UUUAAAUGAUUUUUCUAGGAAUUUGAAACCAGUAUUUGAUAACAAUACAAAUCGAACAGAAUGUAUACAUUUUUUGUUUCGGAUGCACAGACUUGUUUUCGCGACAACACACACGCAUGCACAGACAUUUUGUCUCCACUUGUUAAAUGUUUUCUUAUUAACUAUUUUCGAAAACUUUAUAAAGAUUUGAGAUUUUCAGCUUAUAAAUCUGAGAAAAAGAUUGCUUUCAAAAUUUGUAUUUUGUUUUUAAUUUUAGAAAUAUCAAAGCUUACGAUAAUUUCUCCCUUUCUAUUUGUAAUUGUAAUCCUUUCAAACCUUAUGAUUUAGUUAAAGUUUGACAGAGAUACAUUAAACACGAAGAGGACUAAAUUGUGCAUGAUAAGGAGGUUAAGUAGUGUGUAGUGGAGAAUUAUUAGAUUGCAUAAACUUAUCGAAAGGAAAGAUGAUAGACUUUGAAAUGGGGAGAAAAUAGUAUUAGUAAUAACUCAAUAAAAGUGUUAUAAUCAGCUUCAGUGAAGUUAAGAGCAAAACAAUAAGUUCUGAACAGUUGCAUACAUUGUAACACUACAGCCAUCACUCCCAAGAAUAUAAAUUGGUUGUAUGCACAUACUUUCACCAAUAGUUUUAGGUGCCUAUGUAGUCACGAUACACCCUAUUGACCCUCUCACCUCUAAUCCAGCAGACUAUUUGGGAUGUAACAGCUUUAGACAGAGAAAAGGCAGCACCAUCUCUUGGCUAAUACUUAGAUCAACUGAGAAGACAGCAUCAGCAUGAAAUGAAGAGCCUUGGUUAAGUACAUAAUAUGUUGUCUAGUAUAGUAAUCGAAUCCACAACUUUAUGAUCAUGAACCUAGUAGCCCUUACAUUGUAGUAGUAAUAGAAUAAUAAAAUAAGACAUUAGGUUAUAGCAGGGGUGAGAAACUAUUAUGGACAUAUUCAAAUUUGGAACCACCUGCUGACAAAGUCUCAAAAAAGUCUAAAUUAAAAAAUAUGUUUAAGAUCUCAGCCCACAUCAGUAAUUUAAUAUAAGCAAUUCAUCUGAUAUUAAAAAGGUUCCCCAGCCUGAGUGGGCUGCUAACUAUCAGAAGGCCAUUAGUUUGGAAACCCAGUAUUCAGAAGGUUUAAUAGAAAAUCAGGAAGAUUCAAUGAUAGUACAUAUUUUAACAGUAUUUGCACCCUACAGAAUUCUCUGUUAGACACAAUUACUGGAAAUGGGUUAUUUAGCCAGGGUUCUAUCUCCUGACUUAUAAUGUCUCUUAAGGCAUCAAAUCUGAUUUCAGGUAUCUUUUCUUUCAUUUAUGAGGGCUAAGUGAAUCUCCUCUCUCAUCAGUGUUGGCUUAGAAUCCCAGGUUUUCUAACCUGAGGUUCAGAGAACUAGACUGUGAGGUUUGGUCAACCAUCACUAAAAACAUUCUUAUACCACAACCUAAUGUUCUAUCCUGAAUGAAAAGCUACAAAAAAAUUAUGAAAAUAACUAAUGCCCCAUGGCUGGACUGAUGAAAGUGAUAUUAUUCAAUAUCAUUGAGGGUGACUAACAUACAUCAAGAAUAAUGCCCUGAUCUCACAUUCCCCACAGCUGAUUGUGCCAGUUUUGGCAUUUCUGUUAUGCAUUUUCCACAUCAGCAGCUGACAGAUGUCAUUAAAGUUGUUUUUGUAACUAUGCAGAAUAAAGCCUGGCAACUCUGGAUAUGGUUGAAUGAGGAAAUCUGGGAAUUGACAGGAGUUUUGUCAUACAGUAACCAAUGGUAAAUAACUAAUGGAAACCUGAUUUUUAGAGGUAUUCAUAUCUCCAGUAUGUUCCAGACAGCCAUAACUCCUGCAAACGUAUAGACAGGCAGAAGUGGAAAUAACAGCCAUUAACAUUGGCUAUCAGCAACUCACUUUUCAUAGUAGUGAUAAUUAACUGCUCACCACUACACAAAAGUACUAGUUAUAAUUGACCAUAAUAACUAAGUGCUUGUUUCCCCAGUCAAGAGAGUGGACAAAUAUGAGAGAGCCCUGUCUUGGCCUGCAAAGAAUUGUUUGUUAAGUAAUGGACAUGUUUGAAAUGUACCAUUCAUGCACUCUAGGCACCCCAGUCAUUGUUCAAAUGUAACAGGAGCCUUUCAUGUGACUAUGUCCCUUUUUCCAGAAUGACACAUAUUCAAGGUACUAGUGAGACAAACACAUUCCUGGAUCUUUGAAUUAAUGUGCACACACUAUGGAACUCUGGGAGCUGCUCUCUAUCACGCUCAUCUUGAUGCCUCCCCUGAGCUAUUGCAUCAAAUAAUCAUUUGAUUGGUUUUGUUACAUCUUCAUAUAUGGCUUCCUUCAGUUGAGGUAUUGCUUUGUCAUCUGGAUGGUGGUAUUUGUGAAGGAUUUCUAUGGCUGGGGUGUCUUCAAUGACAUCUAAGUGUUUGUUUUACACCAUAUACUUUUCACCAACAACACCAGUAGAAACAUUAACCAUCUCUUUGUUAGCAUAUAAAUGCAAUGACAUUUCAGAAUAAAUUACUUUAUAAGAGCUCAUCUCUUUCAUGGAGAGUGAAAUGGGGAAAAUAAAACUGAUUUUUCUCAAAGAAAAAGUAAAAGUGGUCUUCUGGGGAAAGCAAAGUGAAAGUGGUCUUCUGAGGAAAGCAAAGUGAAAGUGGUCUUCUGGGGAAAGCAAAGUGAAAGUGGUCUUCUGGGGAAAGCAAAGUGAAAGUGAUCUUCUAAGUAAAGCAAAGUGAAAGUGCUCUUCAAGCAAAAGCAAAGUGAAAGUGCUCUUCAAGCAAAAGCAAAGUGAAAGUAAUUUCCUAGGAAAGGAAAGUAGUAAUAAUAAAAGUCUUUAUUCAUAUACAUAUAACCACAUAUUCAUAGAAAAAUAUUCUAAUUUAUCGCCUAAACCAGUGCAGCUCAAAGUGGUGGUCUGUGGACCAGUGCUGAUUCAUGAGCCAUCAGCUGCUGGUAUGCAUCGAGUUUCCAGAAAAAGAAAGAAACAGUAGCAUAAUUUCAGUAAUUUCACCUUAUGCACUACAGUAAACAACUUACCAGCUGGGUAGUGGAGCAUGGUACUCACUGACCGUGGUAAAGAUUGUGUUAGUAAAUGUAUAUUUGUGAUAUGACAAUAUAUAUUUUCUAUUUACCAUAGCUUACUGGUAUAAUAUUAAGAUUAUAUUAGUGUUUGCACCUAUAGAAAGAAAGUUUCUAGCAAUGUGGAGAGAUCAUGGUGAGUGGUGAUAUCUGGCAACCUUGUAAAUAGGCUGGUCACCUGCAGUUACCAUCAAGAAGUUGAACAGAUAUGGAUACAUGUGCGUUUGUCAUUUGGGGCCCUGUCAUAACCCACUGAUCUAAGAAUGUAAGUAUGAAUAAUCUUAACUUUCCCAUUUUUAUCCUGUAUAAUAAUAAAUUUUAACUAAAAUUAUGAGAACAAAAAAUCUUAACUAAAUUCCUUACCUAUUGGUUACAUUUUCUCAAGAUUAUAUCAGAAUAAUAAUUUUCUUUUUAAUACAAUGAAAUGAAGAGAAAGAUUCAAUUAUAAUUGUUACACACAGAAAAUAUUUUCUUCCAUUAGAAAAAAGAAAAGAAAAAACUAAUUACCUUAAAAUAAAAUUAAAUAAUAGAAACACUUGAAUAUUUGCGACAAUAUUAAUUAUUUUUAUCCUUAAUUUACAGAUGGCGAAGCAAGGCCCUAUGGACAUAUUUAUCAAGCCAAGACAUCCAGUUGCUGAACAUGAUUUUGAAUCAGAUGACAGUGAUGUAAAUGAAACCAAAGUAUUGCUGACAAAAAAAGUUUGUACUAGCUUCACUUGGAAAUAUGACUUCUCAUACAUUCAAUUCGCUUUUGUAGCCACGAAUGAUGGGGGAAUGCAAAAACCGUAGUGUUAUUUGUGGAGAUGUCUUGGCUAAUGACUCAAUGAAACCAUCAAAUCUCAAGAGACAUUUAAAUACAAAACAUAAAGAGUUCAAAGCUAAAAGAGUUCUUUGAAAGAAAGCAUGUUGAUUUAAAAGGCCGUCAGAAACAGAUCUUUGAAGUGUCACACAUAAAUACUUGUGCAUUGCAGGCUUCUUAUAAGGUAGCACUUUGAAAUGCUAAGGCUAAAAAGCCAUACACAAUUGGUGAUAGGAUGUAUUCAAGCUGUCUGCAUGGAAAUGCUAGGCGAGCCAGCGGCAAAGAAAGUGGCUCAAGUGCCACUUUCAAAUGACACUAGAGCUUGAUGAAUUCACAAUCUGGUUCAUGAUAUGGAAAAUCAGCUCAUAGGACAGAUUGAAUUAGCAAAGUACUUUUCUUUGCAACUUGAUGAAUGCACAAACUUUGCUAAAUCAGGUGAUUCUGAUGAUGUAUGUGCACUUUGAAUAUGAAAGGGAUUUGAAGGAAGAGUUUCUUUUUCUCUGCUUCAUUGCCAACAAAAACAACUAGUUCUGAAGCGUUCAAGAGUGUGAACAACUACAUCAUUAACAAAUGUGGGUUGGAUUUCAAGUUUUGUGUAGAUGUAUGUUCUGAUGGCUUUGCCACAACGACAGGACGACAUUCAGGAGUGGUUACCCAGAUUAAGGCGCUUGCCCCAGAAUACAAGUUGAUGCACUGCUUCCUUCACUGAGAAAGUCUUGCAACAAAAAAAAUGAAAAUAGAAUUAAGCAGUGUGUUCAGAGAGGUUGUAAACAGUAGACUAUUUGCUGCAUUAUGUGAUAAUAUGGGAGCUAAUCAUAAACAGCUCCUAUAACAUGAUGAUGUGUGUUGGUUAUCGAGGGGGAAAGUCUUGUCAAGAGUGCUUGAGCUAUGAAACAAGCUUGCCAAGUUUCUUCAGGACAAAAAUCCAAAUUGGUCACAAUUGUUUGGAGAUGUGAAUUGGUUAGCCAAGCUGGCUUAUUUGGAUGAUAUCUUUGCCAUCUUUAAUCAUCUCAAUACCUUCAUGCAGGGAAUGAUGGCUUCAUGUUUUACAAUGGCAGACAAAAUCGAUGAACAGAAACAAAAGCUAGAAGCAUGGAAGAGUCAAAUAUCAAGAGAUUGUUAUGACAUGUUUCAUCAAUUAGCAACAAUCAUCGCUGAUGCAGGUGAAGACCUUAAUAUUACAUCUCUAUGAAAUGUCAUCAGAGAACACUUGACGAAUUUGGCAGACCCGAUUUCAGUUUUUACUUUCCAGCAGAAGAUCCACGGAAAGAGAAUGGUUAGAUCUGAAAUCCAUUUAUUUCACUGCAAGAUGACUUAAGUGUCAUUAUGGAGGACAAAUUGUUGGAGCUGGCUAGGGAGGAAGGAUUGAAGAGGAGUUUCAAAAUUACCAUAUUACUUGGUUCCUUUUGGAUUAGCUUAGUGAAAUUGCUCUGAAAACUCUUCCAUUUCCUUCAACAUACCUCUGUGAGACUGGCCUCUCAACCACAAGUGUUAUUGAGACAAAGUACAGAAAUAAUAUGGAUAUUCAUUCUCCAUUGUGUGUGGCAUUGUCUUCAAUUGAACCACAAUUGGAUAAAAUGACAAAGAAGAAGCAGGUUUACCUUUUACAUUAAAGAUUAAGAUUAUAAAAUGCUUAUGUAACAUUGUAUUAUUUGUUUACAAAAUAAAUAUAAGAUAUCGUCAA